rnacentral:tRNA from 1 species
UCCGGAUUAGCUCAGUUGGUAGAGCAACGGACUGUUAAUCCGUUUGUCGCUGGUUCGAGUCCAGCAUCCGGAG